UCACGUUGCUCUCUGUGCCAUCCAGUUUCCAAAACAACAGAAACAUACGCUUGGUUUUCUCUCGUCAAGCGUCAUUUCAUACACAAGCCUUAACAGCAGAAGGAGUUUGAGGAGAAUUGUUCUCGCUCUCAGUCAUUGCCUGGAUCAGGGCUGUACCGAUGGACUGAAAUCCAACAAAUCGGACCACCAGAGAAGAUCCAACAUGGGCAACAAACGGAAAGCCUCCAGUGAGAUCGACAGAGAUUCAGAUGCCAGCUCAGGAUAUUAUAGUGCUUUGGACCAGACAGAAUUUGAAGACAUAGGACCAACCAGUACUGCAGCACAAAGCAUGCCGGCAGCUCCUCGGGUGCCUUUCAUUCCUGGCUCACA